rnacentral:rRNA from 1 species
CCUACGGGCGGCAGCAGUGGGGAAUAUUGGGCAAUGGGCGCAAGCCUGACCCAGCAACGCCGCGUGAAGGAAGAAGGUUUUCGGGUUGUAAACUUCUUUUGUUAGGGACGAAGCAAGUGACGGUACCUGAUGAAGAAGUCACGGCUAACUACGGGCCAGCAGCCGCGGUAAUACGUAGGGGGCAAGCGUUAUCCGGAUUUAUUGGGUGUAAAGGGCGUGUAGGCGGGAAUGCAAGUCAGAUGUGAAAACUAUGGGCUUAACCCAUUGCCUGCAUUUGAAACUGUAUUUCUUGAGUGCAGGAGAGGCAAUCGGAAUUCCGUGUGUAGCGGUGAAAUGCGUAGAUAUACGGAGGAACACCAGUGGCGAAGGCGGAUUGCUGGACAGUAACUGACGCUGAGGCUCGAAAGCGUGGGGAGCAAACAGGAUUAGAUACCCUAGUAGUC